UAAGACAUUGGAGAGUGCCUGGAUAAGGUGU
rnacentral:piRNA from 1 species